GAUGAACGCUAGCUACAGGCUUAACACAUGCAAGUCGAGGGGCAGCAUGAACUUAGCUUGCUCAGUUUGAUGGCGACCGGCGCACGGGUGAGUAACACGUAUCCAACCUGCCGAUGACUCGGGGAUAGCCUUUCGAAAGAAAGAUUAAUACCCGAUGGCAUAGUUCUUCCGCAUGGUAGAACUAUUAAAGAAUUUCGGUCAUCGAUGGGGAUGCGUUCCAUUAGGUUGUUGGCGGGGUAACGGCCCACCAAGCCUUCGAUGGAUAGGGGUUCUGAGAGGAAGGUCCCCCACAUUGGAACUGAGACACGGUCCAAACUCCUACGGGAGGCAGCAGUGAGGAAUAUUGAUCAAUGGACGAGAGUCUGAACCAGCCAAGUAGCGUGAAGGAUGACUGCCCUAUGGGUUGUAAACUUCUUUUAUACGGGAAUAAAGUGAGGCACGUGUGCCUUUUUGUAUGUACCGUAUGAAUAAGGAUCGGCUAACUCCGUG
rnacentral:rRNA from 1 species